GACGAACGCUGGCGGCGUGCUUAACACAUGCAAGUCGAACGGAAAGGCCCUGCUUUUGUGGGGUGCUCGAGUGGCGAACGGGUGAGUAACACGUGAGUAACCUGCCCUUGACUUUGGGAUAACUUCAGGAAACUGGGGCUAAUACCGGAUAGGAGCUCCUGCUGCAUGGUGGGGGUUGGAAAGUUUCGGCGGUUGGGGAUGGACUCGCGGCUUAUCAGCUUGUUGGUGGGGUAGUGGCUUACCAAGGCUUUGACGGGUAGCCGGCCUGAUAGGGUGACCGGCCACAUUGGGACUGAGAUACGGCCCAGCCUCCAACGGGAGGCAGCAGUGGGGAAUAUUGCACAGUGGGCGGAAGCCUGAUGCAGCAACGCCGCGUGCGGGAUGACGGCCUUCGGGUUGUAAACCGCUUUCGCCUGUGACGAAGCGUGAGUGACGGUAAUGGGUAAAGAAGCACCGGCUAACUACGUG
rnacentral:rRNA from 1 species